rnacentral:rRNA from 1 species
GACGAACGCUGGCGGCGUGCUUAACACAUGCAAGUCGAACGGAAAGGCCCUGCUUUUGUGGGGUGCUCGAGUGGCGAACGGGUGAGUAACACGUGAGUAACCUGCCCUUGACUUUGGGAUAACUUCAGGAAACUGGGGCUAAUACCGGAUAGGAGCUCCUGCUGCAUGGUGGGGGUUGGAAAGUUUCGGCGGUUGGGGAUGGACUCGCGGCUUAUCAGCUUGUUGGUGGGGUAGUGGCUUACCAAGGCUUUGACGGGUAGCCGGCCUGAGAGGGUGACCGGCCACAUUGGGACUAAGAUACGGCCCAGACUCCUACGGGAGGCAGCAGUGGGGAAUAUUGCACAAUGGGCGGGAGCCUGAUGCAGAAACGCCGCGUGCGGGAUGACGGCCUUCGGGUUGUAAACCGCUUUCGCCUGUGACGAAGCGUGAGUGACGGUAAUGGGUAAAGAAGCACCGGCUAACUACGUG